rnacentral:lncRNA from 1 species
ACAGUAAGAUCAUAGCUUCAGGACCUAAGUAGCUCCUGGGGAUGGGAAAGAGAUGACUGACUGAGGUGGUUGAUGGGAUUCUUACAGGUAAGUCAAAUGGGUUUUUUCACUUGCAUCACCUUGGGGACCCAUUCAGCAGUGCCGUUGGUGGAGGCUGAGAGACCAGGUCCUCUAAAAUUGUGACACCUGCUCUCUUUGAAAAUGAGGCACUCUCUCAGUUUAAAUAUUUUGUUAAUGUUUUUCCCCUACAAUUCCCUUCAAUUAAAAGAUGAUGUAUGGCAUUCAUGGGAUAAAUGAAGUUGAUGCAUUGUGAGCAUUUCGUGACCUCUCACACCCUGAGGGGUCCAAGUGGGGCUGGAAGUCUGCAGGGAGGCAUACCUUUAUUCAGGGCUGAGUCAUGUUGUUUGCAAGGGCCCUAGAGCCAAGUGUGUUGAAGACACAGACACCUGAGGGGCACUAGCUCCGCAGACACCUGGACUUGCCGGUGGAUCUUUCAGAGGAGGAGCUAGGCAGGGUUCUUUCCUUCCAAAUGAAGUAAAAGCAUGAAAAAGAAGAAAGGGAAGUGUCUGCUUCUGGACACUAGUGAUAAAAUUGGUUUGAGGGUGUUGCUACUUGGAAAUACCAAGACAUCCAGGCACCUGCUCUCACCUGCUGUGCCCUGUGUCUUCUGUUUUUUUUUGCAGACAGAGCAGCUUUAUCUGAAUCUGGCCUUGUCAAGUGAUUAGAUCACGUAUUUAGUUUUUGUCUCAUCAAUUGAUGAUAAACUUGAAGAAGGCAGAGGGGUGUGUGUGUGUGUGUGUGUGUGUGUGCAUGUGUGUGUGUGUGUGCAUGCCCGUACAUGGUGUGUUUAUUUCCUGCAGUCUCUAGGACAGCAACAGUGACUUUGCCAUUUCAUUUGUUGAAGUGGCCUAAAAUAUGAUAUAUGGAAAAGUGGAAGAGACCCAUAAUCCUCUUUCACUUUUGAAGUGAUUUAUGCGUUACAACACUAGAUUGCAGAGCGGGCUAGAAUUAGAAAUGGAUAGAUUUUUGGGUAAAAUACAUAUCUUGAACAGAGUUUUUAUGCUGUAUAUAUACACAAAGAGAUAUCUAUAGAAAAAGACAGAGAGAAAAUAGAUGCAAAUAGAUAAAAUUAUGUAUAAGUAACAUUUACCACAAGUAUGUUUAACUAUUUCACACACAAAAAUGAACACAAUCACAGAAAAUAGGAGAGACCUUAAGAAAAUACAGUAUCAUCUAAAAGCUGUCCCUUUUGUUGGAGGAAGUGGAAAAGUACAGCUCCUUUUUCUUCGCAGUGUGCCCUUGAGGAAGGACAAUGAAUUUCUCCUUGUCUUCCUCUAUAUGAUACAAUGCACUGCCUUCAGUCUCUGUGAUACAGAUUUUAUAUUCAUAGAAUCUUCAAUUUUAAUGCUGUUAUCUUUUCACCUUGCAGAGCUAAUAGGAGUUAAUACUAUAUCCCAGGUAUAACUAUACCUCUCUCUAAUACCUGUAUCCCUAGAGAGGAGUGUGUCCACUAUGAAUAUUUAAAGGGUUGAAUCGUAUUUUUUAAUGCUUAAGAAGAUCUUGUCUCAGAGUAUUCAUUUAUGAAUCUUUUGGAAAAAUGAAUGAUUAGUUAUUGAAUUAUUACUUAAAUAUGGAUUUGUAUGUACUGGGUUUAUUCGUAAAUCAUUCAAAUAUAUAAGAUAGUCCUGCAAGUUGAAACUCUAGUAGGAUUUUACAAGAUCAGGAUGAUCUUGUUAAAAAAAAGUCACGAAAAGUCACCAAGAGUGAAAGGUGACUCCAAGCAAUAAUGUAUCUAGACAUGGAAAUAUUUCAAAAGUCUUAUUUCACCUAUUCCUUAAUACCAGUGCAAUAAGGAGAGGUGGUUAAUGCUCCUUUCAUAUUCAGUUAAUUCUGCAGGACCGUGCUAUAGGUUGAAUAAUUAGAAAAUCCCUUUAACUACUGGGAAGUGAGGAGCGCCUCUGCCCGGCCACCACCCCGUCUGGGAGGUGUGCCCAACAGCUCAUUGAGAACGGGCCAGGAUGACAAUGGCGGCUUUGUGGAAUAGAAAGGCGGGAAAGGUGGGGAAAAGAUUGAGAAAUCGGAUGGUUGCCGUGUCUGUGUAGAAAGAAGUAGACAUGGGAGACUUUUCAUUUUGUUCUGCACUAAGAAAAAUUCUUCUGCCUUGGGAUCCUGUUGAUCUGUGACCUUACCCCCAACCCUGUGCUCUCUGAAACAUGUGCUGUGUCCACUCAGGGUUAAAUGGAUUAAGGGCGGUGCAAGAUGUGCUUUGUUAAACAGAUGCUUGAAGGCAGCAUGCUCGUUAAGAGUCAUCACCAAUCCCUAAUCUCAAGUAAUCAGGGACACAAACACUGCGGAAGGCCGCAGGGUCCUCUGCCUAGGAAAACCAGAGACCUUUGUUCACUUGUUUAUCUGCUGACCUUCCCUCCACUAUUGUCCCAUGACCCUGCCAAAUCCCCCUCUGUGAGAAACACCCAAGAAUUAUCAAUAAAAAAAUAAAUUUAAAAAAAAAAAAAAAAAAA